GUACACUCCUGCGGGAGGGCAGCAGUGAGGAAUAUUGGACAAUGGGUGGAAGCCUGAUCCAGCCAUCCCGCGUGCAGGAAGACGGCCCUAUGGGUUGUAAACUGCUUUUAUCUGGGGAUAAACCUACUUACGUGUAAGUAGCUGAAGGUACCAGAAGAAUAAGCACCGGCUAACUCCGUGCCAGCAGCCGCGGUAAUACGGAGGGUGCAAGCGUUAUCCGGAUUUAUUGGGUUUAAAGGGUCCGUAGGCGGACUGAUAAGUCAGUGGUGAAAUCCGACAGCUUAACUGUCGAACUGCCAUUGAUACUGUUAGUCUUGAGUAAGGUUGAAGUGGCUGGAAUAAGUAGUGUAGCGGUGAAAUGCAUAGAUAUUACUUAGAACACCAAUUGCGAAGGCAGGUCACUAAGUCUUAACUGACGCUGAUGGACGAAAGCGUGGGGAGCGAACAGGAUUAGAAACCCCAGUAGUCCC
rnacentral:rRNA from 1 species